UAAGGCCAUAAAAAAUAAUAGGUUUGUUUGCCCAAACCCUACCUACUCAGAAAAAAGCUGCCUACUCAAAUUCUUUUAUUGUCCUGAUUUGAAGAAGUUUUUUUUUUAUUCAGAUAGAUACGAAGACUAAUAAACAUCCGAUACUUCAAUUUCUUUUUUUGAUGAAAAAAAAAAAGAAAAUGCCUACCUACCUACCCAUAGUCUCAACCUUUGGGUAGGGUUUGGGCAAACCAAAAUAUUUUUAAUUGCGGCCU
rnacentral:lncRNA from 1 species